rnacentral:rRNA from 1 species
CCUACGGGAGGCAGCAGUGGGGAAUAUUGCACAAUGGGGGAAACCCUGAUGCAGCGACGCCGCGUGAGUGAAGAAGGAAUUAGUUAUGUAAAGCUUGAUCAGCAGGGAAGAAAAUGACGGUACCUGAGGAAGUAGCCACGGCUAACUACGUGCCAGCAGCCGCGGUAAUACGGAGGGGGCAAGCGUUAUCCGGAUUUACUGGGUGUAAAGGGAGCGUAUACGGCAGUGCAGGUCUGGAGUGAAAGGCGGGGGCUCAACGCCCGGACUGCUCUGGAAACUGUACGGCUGGAGUGCAGGAGAGGUAAGUGGAAUUCCUGGUGUAGCGGUGAAAUGCGUAGAUAUUAGGAGGAACACCAGUGGCGAAGGCAGCUUACUGGACUGUAACUGACGUUGAGGCUCGAAAGCGUGGGGAUCGAACAGGAUUAGAUACCCCAGUAGUC